UACGGAGGGAGCUAGCGUUGUUCGGAAUUACUGGGCGUAAAGCGUGCGUAGGCGGCUAUUCAAGUCAGAGGUGAAAGCCUGGAGCUCAACUCCAGAACUGCCUUUGAAACUAGAUAGCUAGAAUCUUGGAGAGGUGAGUGGAAUUCCGAGUGUAGAGGUGAAAUUCGUAGAUAUUCGGAAGAACACCAGUGGCGAAGGCGACUCACUGGACAAGUAUUGACGCUGAGGUACGAAAGCGUGGGGAGCAAACAGG
rnacentral:rRNA from 2 species